UUAGAAUUCGUUGCCAUUCUAUAGAUUGUAAUGGAGUUCUUUGUUGGAUCUUGAUGUCUUUCCUUACGGGAGUUCUUAUGGACCCGUAAUAAUCUUUGUGGCACUUUUGACCUUCAUUAUGACUAUAGUAAUUGGAAUUAUCCUCUCUUUUCUAGAAAUUGAUAUUUUGUUUUUAUGUUUGAUUAUGAUAUUUUGAUUUCAGCCCCUUGUUUGUUACUUGGAAAAAAGCAACCAGUGGCGGAGAGCCGCGCCUGCGAGGAUGCAUAGGAACUUUAGAAGGUCGUCGCUUGAUCAAUGGCUUUAGGGAUUAUGCAUUAACGAGCGCUCUGAAAGACCGACGCUUCCCACCAAUACAGGCUAAAGAAUUACCAUAUUUGGAAUGCACAGUUUCUAUACUUACUAACUAUGAAACUGCUCUCCAUUUCCUUGAUUGGGAGUGUAGAAGAGGAAAUUCCCCACUUGCUACAUUGCCCGCCUUUUAUGAUCCAAUGGUGAUAACAAUCAUGAAGAUAAUCUUAAUGUUUUGGUGAACCAAGAUAGGUAAGCAUGGUUUGAUCAUUGAGUUUACUGACCCUGAUUGCAACAUUAGGCGCAGUGCGACUUACUUGCCCGAGAUUGCCGCACAGGAAGGCUGGACAAAGAUCGAAACAAUCGACUCGCUAAUGAACAAAGCAGGCUACUAUGGCUUCAUCAAUGAGUCGCUACGAAAGAAGCUUCACGUGACACGCUACGAGAGCACCCUAUACACCAUGCACUACAGUGACUACGCAUUGUACGUUGAGAUGACCAGAGGCGAGGUCCCUGGGUUCAUUGGGUCUUCCACCAUCAAUGGGGUGAAACCCAACCAUUGAUUAUUCUUACCUCACCCAGCUUUGUUGUAAUUUUAAAGCUGUGAAGGUAUAUACAUUUACACUUUGAUCUUAUUGAUAUGCUAUCUUAUUUAUCUUAAGAAAAUGGAGAGGGGAUGCCAAUUAAGUUCCCCAUAACUAUUGCAAUGUUAUGUAAGAGUUAUCUAUUUGUGAUCUAAGAUUUCCCUGUUCUACGUUGUUGUAAUGGAUUAGACAUCUAUUUCUCGAGUUGAACU